rnacentral:lncRNA from 1 species
UUUUUUUGCUGUGACAUUACAGAAACAUAGGAAUAUCAGAAUAGAAGGCCCGACAAAUACAAGAAUAGUUAAAACAUUAUGAGCAAGCAUCACAAACAAAAGAAAAUGCUAGCUAACAUCUGCUUUCUUCCUAUAAUUAGCUCAAGUUCUCAACUUGGACAACAUACAUAUAUCACAUUCAUGGAAGAUUUGAACUGAUGGUAUUUUAGGAUUAUUUUAGAGAAACUUUUUGCCCGCAAAUUAGAUAUAUUCAACGCUAGAUUCAUCUCUGAAGGCUGCUGUGAAAAAAAUAAAUUUCAUUGACCACCAAUCUCUGCAUGAGAUAACAAGUACCUUUUGGUAGCAAAAUAGAUUGGAAGAGCUACAGCAACCCCCUGAAAAGGUAUCAAAUUGGUAAGUAGUUUUUUAAUCGAGCACACAGGAGACCUGUAUAUCAUUAUGUUAAGGAAGAGGAGUCUAGACCAAAGUGUUAAGUAGUUAGUAUAUUGAACUGGGCAAAAUGAACCGAACUGGAUGAAACUCAACAUUUAUCCAAAUAAAAGAUACAAAUAUACAGAAGAAAAUAACAUGAAUGUUUUCGAGAGAAAAAAAGAAAAUAACAUGAAUGACAUCCAUAACAAAUAUGCCAACAUAUCAUCAUUGCCCAGUUAUCAUUUUUAUGCGUAUAGCAUCUAUUCUCUUCAUAAAAUGAGAAUCUUUAAUUCCUCAGUUGUAUUUUUUAUCUUUCAAAGUUUAAAAUAUAUUCUGCUAAGUGCUAAUACUAUUUAGAAACAUAUUCUUUUUAAUACUGCUUCAGAUGCUACCUGAUUCUGGCAAAACUCAUACAGUUUGAAACUAAAAGAAAUGGAUCAAAGGAUUAUCAGAUACCCAGCAAAAUUCAGAAGCUGGUUUAUCACACAGAACUUAAGAUUCACUGUGAGUCCAUGAUAUACAUUAAUUUGCACAUGUAAAGGUAACCAUAACAAUUUGGCAUUCAUAUUGACCAUGAAAUUUAAAAGCUUUACAACAAAGAUAAAACUUGUGCCAUUUGAAUCUUACUGCAUGUGCAAAUGCAUCCAAGAGCUGAAUAGUUAUGUGUGACAAUAAUUCAAAUUUUAGAAAAUCUGUCAUAUAACGACAAAAGCUGAAUAGUUGAAUUUUGUACCUCUGGUAUGUUAUGUAAGGCAAUAGCAACAGCCAAGUUCAGGCCCACAUGAAGACCCUGCAUUUUUUUAUUGUGACAAAAACAAUCACUUCAAGCACAAAAACAAUCAUAAUAAAUAAAAACACUUGGAACACAGCAUGAGGUUUAGGGCAGAGCCCUUCCAGAACUAACAAAGCUAGGCCAAAAAUGGAGGGCACACAGCAAUAAGUCCUACAGUUCUCUGUUUGAAGAAAUGCAGGGCACAAUCAAUUCCACCUUUGCAAUGAACCAAAAAUGGAAUAUACAAAAGGAAUAGCAAGACAAGCAGCAUUUUGAAAGGAACUAAAACAACUCAUUCCAGAAGCUGUAACCUAUAGGAAAAAUCAUAAAAUCAUAGAUUAUGUUCCUGGAGUACAGAUCAGCAGAUCAAAUCAUCAAAAUGCUCAGAAGGGAUGGUGAUUCCUCAGACUUUCCAUCCCAAGCCAAAGAGUGCCAGUGACUUCUACAUACUUGAUAGUAAGUUCAUUUGUUCAUAAAUCUACCCAUCCUAGGGCAUUUACAAUUUAUGUAAGACUAUAAAAUUUGCAAGAUGGGAGCUUAUGGUAAAUAAUUACAACAUAUACACAGAUUAAAAUGAAUGAUUAAAUAAGUUAUAUUUGAUAGCAGGGAUCUGAAUUUCAAUCUCAAAAGCAAAUAACAGAGAGUAUCAUUAAUUAAACAGUUAAGAACAAAUUAUUUGGACAAAGAACUAAAGGAAUAAUUGUUGCUUUAGUUUUGUUAUUUAAGCUAUUAUACUGAUGUAUAUACUCAAGCCGAGACAUUCUAGAAUACAUUUCAAUCUGCACAUCGAUGAAUAACAGGGAGAGUACCACUAGUUCAACCAUUUAAGAAUUAAUUAAAUAGAUAAUUGACCAAAGAAAAGAAUGUUAUUUCAGUAAUUCAAAACCCAAAAGGUGGUUAGACAGUUAGUGAUUUAAGCUAUAAUGCUGGCAUAACUGUACUAAGGUAUUACCUUGACAGAUCCAAGAAAUACAGCCAUUCCCUCUGGAAGAUUAUGCAAGCUAAUUCCUGCAAUAAGAGCAUUUGCCAAUUAAAAUGAUUGCAGCUUCAAGGAAGCAAAGCUGCGCAAAAUAUUGCUAGAAGAUACAGCAAGAAAUGAAACAGUCGAAAUAAUUAUGUCAUCCAAAUUUCGAAACUAAUAUCAAGGGGUGCAUUUUCUUAAAUAAGGGCACUGAAUGAUUUCAUAAGGCAUUUGUGUUUCUUACCAACAGCAGUGAUAAUACCACUGAAUAGCACUUGCCGGCGAUGUUUUCUCAUCAUAUCUUUACCUGAUACACCAUCAUCAGCCUGCUUUCCUCAAGCCAAACAAAGAGAACUAAAUUCUGUUCAGCUUUCCUAUUUUAGUGAGGAAACAAAUUGAUCUGGCAUAAGAAAAUCAGUAAGGGCUGUUCAUUCCAACCUCUUUCUCGCUUGGAUCAGCUGGUGGCGAAAAAUCUGGCUCUGGGAUAAACUUAAUAAUGAAACCGAAGAAAAGAACCCCUGCAAAAAACUGCAGUUGCUCCUUGUUAUGUGGACAGAUGAACGCUAGAUGAGCUUGGAUUGAAGAACUAUAAGCAGGUUAUGGCUCACCCAGAGGUUCCCCUUCAAGAAGCCAAUAGAAUUCAGGGCAUUGUGUGCCAGGUCUAGAAAGGAGAUGCUGAGCAUAAGUCCAGCAGCAAAACCCUGUAGUGAGUUUCAACAGCAUAUAGAGCCUUAGCAGCUAAACAACCUACUCGAAGAGGAUAUCUGAAGUUACUUGAUAGUUUCUCACCUGUAGAAGCCCGAGCACUUUAAGGUUAGGGGCAGGAUUCAAAACGACAAACAGUGCACCUGAAACAGAGAAUUCAAACCCAGAUGCAGUGGGUGAAGUUGCUAAAAAAACUCAAAUGCACACAAGGCGUCACCAUUACGAUUUGAUGAACGAAAAGUAAGGCUGGGCAUCCUGAGGUAGUUCAUCAAAUCACCAUGGCAACACUUGUAUCACAAAAGUAAGUACAACGUGGACGAGGUCGUAGCUAUAUGUAAUAUUUAACCAAGCAAGAGUAGUCCUAAACUGAGGCAGCUGUGCUACUUGGUUCCCAUUCGAAACUUGAGGAGUAACCCAUUAAUUUUACAGGUGGAGGAACGAUUUUCCAUCACUUGAUAGCGAGUGAAUAAAAUCAUACGGUAAGGUGUUCCACAAUUUUAUUGGUAAUAACAGAGGCAACAGAGUUGUAUAGACACCGGAAUUAUGGUUACGCUAGACUGCUAGUUGCUCGCCCCCCCCGACCAGUACGAGAAACGCCUAUCCUAUCCUAUGAAUGCGGAACACUAGUCAAUCGCAUCUGAGUACACUGCUCCAGACCGCGCAGCCCAAGCUGGGCGCGAGGAAAUUGGACUGCAACCAGCGGCAGCCAGUGGGUCUCCGCUAGCAUCGAAAUCCUAGGAACCGCAGCACGGCGGCAAGCAAUCGGAAAUUCAGCAACCGCGGAGCCGAGAGUCGGGCGUGCGUGCCGUACCGAUGGCGGUGCUGAGGCCGCCGACGAACGAGAGCCCGAGCGCCCUGUAGAAGACAUGCAGCUGCAGGUCCAUUCGCCCGACGCAGCUCCGCUGCCCGUGCUAGGGUUUGGGCUUUGGGUGUCGAGGAUUCGGGGGGAGAGGGAGAGACGAGGGAGUGAGGGAGGAGGGGAGCGGUUAGCGAGCUUGGCGUGAGCCUCCGCGACCGCGAGGAACGUGGUUUGACUUGAACUGGAAAGUGAAAGGUGGAGGAGACGGGACUACGGGAGGGGAGGACUGAGGAGGCUAUUUAUAUAUAUAGCAAACAUGAGUGGGGAAUUUUUCACUUUUGGUCUCGUUGGCAUCGCAUAUGGAGUAUUGGGGAAUUUCACUUCCUUUGUGUCGGAUUAUACUCGAAAUCGUUCCAGCUAAGGCCUUGUCGUUUGUGUCGAAUUGAUGGGUCGGAACGAUUCCUAACCGGAUUGCUUCUCUAAUUUAUAUAAACUUUGAUUAGCUAGAACGAUUCCGGGUGCAAUCCGACGCAAACGAACAAGGACUAAAGUCUUGUUUGUUUGUGCCGGAUUGGAGGUUCGGAACGAUUUCUAACCGGAUUGCUUCUCUAAUUUAUAUAAACUUUGAUUAGUCGGAACGAUUCCGACGCAAAUGAACAAGGCCUAAUUAAAGUUCAUAUAAAUUAGAGAAGCAAUCCGGUUAGGAAUCGUUCCAACCCACCAAUCCGGCACAAACUAUAAGGCCUAAAAGAUGUAAAUUUUGUGUACGUCGGCUUUGUUUCCGAAGAUGUCGAAUCUAGCAGCUGAUUCGCGCGAUUAUUAUGUUAUUAUUAUUUUUAAGUAAUUAUUGUAGGGUGGUCCUACAGUAUUCUUUGUAUUAAAAAAUUAUGUACAAAAUAAAGGUACUCGUUGGUGAUCCCAACCAAUAUCUUGGAAUUCUGCAUCAACCACAACUAUUUGCAACCGCAGUGACGACUGACAUUUGCGGCAUGACUCAUGAUGCAAAGCAUAACUGCUCCAUUCUCUUUUUCUUUUCUCCACAUCGUUUAGGUAUCCUCUGAUUCAAACAAUGCAAUGACCUGAGGAGCUACGUCAGCAUGUGUCCAUGGAUAAAACAACAGUAGAAUUACAAAACCAAAUUGGCAUCAUUCUGAAUUCUGAUUCAAACAAAACGGUAGGAUCGCAAAAACCAAAUUGGGAUCAUAGUAUUAGCAUCGAUCAGGCAGGAUUACAGAAACGAAACCCCCUUGGCGACCCACACAUCACCAAGGAAGGAACGAAGGAAGGAACAACAGACGAUCACAUAAUUAGGCAACCGCAAGCAAUAAAUAAAUAAAUAAAACAACGAUUAAUUAAUUAUUAAUCGGGUGAACCAAACACGAUGCUCCAUCCCAGGUUUCCCGCACUCCGCGCGGUACGUCGCUCAGUGGAGGAAGGAGGCGAGGAAGGAGACGACGAGCGCCGCGGCGGCGGGCACUGCGGCGGCGGCGGCGGCGCUGGCGGAAGGGCCAGCCGCACCGCCGGCCGCGCCGGCGGCCGCGCCGGCGGGCGCCUCGGAGGGCGACUCGGAGGCGACCUCGGCCAGCACGGCGGUGGCGGAGGCGGCGGCGACGAGCGCGGCGCAGAGGACCUUCUUCAUCUCCAUGGCUGCUGGUGCUGGCCGGGUCGCUUGCUGCUGGAUUGGUCCAAGGAAGCCGGCCUCGCGCUCGAGGAGAUGUUAUUAGUUAUUCGGUGGAAUUGGGAGACUGCUUUUCGACGGUGAUCUCUCUCUCAAUUGCUUCUCCUGCUUCAGGACGGGGCGCCGCUUUAUAGGAGCUGCGAGGCGACGGCGCGAGCGGCCGCGAGCGAAGCAAGGGCGGCGGUUCGUUCGCUGCCGGGCUGGCCGUGGGUUUGCUGCAUGCUUGCCGGAAAUAGGGUGGAUUAGCUGGUUAGUUUGCAAAAAAAAAACAAAAAAAAAACUGGAUGGUUGGAGUCGGUUUAGCGGUGGUUCUCCAC